rnacentral:lncRNA from 1 species
UUAUAUCUAGUAUGAAGCUUAUAUAUAGAGUGAGGCUACUAUGCUAUCGGAAGCACAGAGCCUUCCGUGCUUCCAGCUCGUUUUCGAUAUUGCGACUUUCGAAUCGUCGAUCGGCUCCGUUAAACUUAAUCUAGAGUAUUUGAAGUACCUAGAAAAUAAAUUUUAUGAUUUUACGAUAUCAUUUGCCUAGUGAACGAAGGGGCUCAAAAUCAACGGCUGAAAAUAAAAAUCUUACAAAAUGUAAUAAUAUGACAUUAAAAUUUUGGAUCAAAGAUAUUGAUCUUGUUUUAUAUAGUAUAAAGAAUUUUCUAUCAAAAUUUCACGUGAUUUGGAUAUUUCUACACCGUUAAACUUGCAAACGGCUCACUACGGCCAUUGAAAUUUGUUGAUUUUGAGCCCAUUCGAUCACUAGGCAAAUGAUAUUGAAAAAUAAUAAAAUUUAUUUUCUAAGUACUCCAAAUACUCUAGAUCAAGUUUAACGGAGCCGAUCGACGAUUCGAAAGUCGCAACAUCGAAAACGAGCUGAAAGGACGAAAGGCUCCGUGCUUCCGAUAGCAUAGUAGCCUCACUCCUUAUAUAUAUAUAUAUAUAUAUUUCUAACAUGCCCCUUCAAUACAUACU